AUACGGAGGAUGCGAGCGUUAUCCGGAUUUAUUGGGUUUAAGGGUGCGUAGGCUGUGCGUUAAGUCAGGGGUGAAAUGCCGUCGCUCAACGACGGAGCUGCCCUUGAUACUGGCGUGCUGGAGUACGGAUGCCGUUGGAGGAAUGAGUGGUGUAGCGGUGAAAUGCUUAGAUAUCACUCAGAACACCGAUUGCGAAGGCAUCUGACGAAUCCGUCACUGACGCUGAGGCACGAAAGCGUGGGGAUAGAACAGGAUUAGAUACCCUGGUAUUCCACGCCGUAAACGAUGAUGACUAACCGUCGGCGAUAGACAGCCGGUGGCCAAGCGAAAGCGAUAAGUCAUCCACCUGGGGAGUACGUCGGCAACGAUGAAACUCAAAGGAAUUGACGGGG
rnacentral:rRNA from 1 species